CAGUCGCGGCAACAUUGACAAUGGGCAAGGAAGACAGAAUGUACGACAUUCUCUUCAACAUGAAGUUUGCGUCGAAGCAGAUGUCGAAGAGCGCCGCCGUGUCCGAAAAGGCGGCGGAGCGGGAGAAGCUGAACGUCAAGAAAGCGUUGGAGAAGGGCAACCCCGAGGCGGCCCGUAUCUACGCCGAGAACGCGAUUCGCAAGCGCAACGAGGGCCUGAAUUAUCUCCGUCUCGCCUCCCGCCUCGACGCCGCCUCGUCGCGCAUACAAACUGCCAUGCAGAUGAAGAUGGUUACUAAGACUAUGUCCACCACGGUGAAGGGCAUGGACAAGAUUCUCACCUCCAUGGACCCCAUGAAGAUCGCAAAGGUGAUGGACGCCUUUGAGCAGCAGGUCGGCGCGAUGGACGUAAAUCUGGGCACAAUGGAUGCUGCCUUCGAGAGCUCUUCAGCUGGCACGGUGCCGGUGGCCCAGGUAGACUCGUUGAUGGAACAGCUGGCUGCGGAGAAUAACAUCGAUCUUAGUGCGAAGCUUGGCAAUGGACCGUUGGGUAGCAGCAUUGCGAUGCCCGCGCGAAAGCAGGAUGUAGACGAAGACGACAUUGCUGAGCGCCUCAAGGCGCUGCAGGCGCUGUAAGGUUAGACAGGGGUGAGUAGCCGAAGGGGUACGCAUGCCUCGUGUCACAGUGAAUAAAGUUUUUUUUUCGGGUGGGCAAGCGUGACAGCGAUGUAUUACGUGAGUAGGCUUGUCUGUCUUCCCCAUCCUCCUCAUCGCGGCAUCUGUGGAGCUCACUCUUUCGCAUCGAAUGGCGCGCAGUUCUCGUGUCGUGUGCGAUUUUCUGCGCUUUCACAGAAGCGACGGCUGCCGGCGUUGUCGUCUCUCUCUCUCGAACUCCAUCGCAGCUGAUCCAUCUCUUUUUGCCCUUCACCACGCUUGCUUCCACCACUGACAGCGGCAGAAUCGCUAUACGGCUUGUGUGUGCGUGUGCGUGUUCGUACGGCUGCCGCGUAGUGACCGAAGAUCUGAGCGAAAGGCUAGAGGGCCAGACACACACACACACACACACACACACACACACAGGCACUGACAGACGUAGAGCAACUCUUACUAGUCCACCAGAAAGUAGGCAUGCCGGAGGUGCUCACGUAACGAUCCACUUUCAUGAGUCGGGGCGAGAAGAGGAGGAAGGUGCGGGAAUGAAGCGGAGAGAGGAAGGGAGAAGUGCUCCACGGAAGCCCUUGUAGACAGUAGCACAGGCGCUCUCUCCUCAAGCUCCCAUCUCCGUGUCUGCCUCAAAACACCGGUGGCUGCUCAGCCGCGCUUUUCCUUUCUCUUCCUCUUGCCGCUCCUCUGCCUUUGCCUUGCCGCCCUUCGUGAACAGCCCUCAUAUCGACUGCUAAAAGUGCCCUUCUGUUAUUUGGUGCCCUGUGUGUGUGCGUUUGUGUCUCUCCUUCUCUCUAUAGGUGUGCACAUGUGGGUGCUUGCGUUUGUGCCAGCGUGUUCGUGUGCGUGAGUAUUUUUGUUCUUUUCGCUUGCUGAUGUUGUGUGUUGGUCGAUCGCUUGCUGCGCCAUUGGUCCUCUCUCUCGCUCUCUCUGUCUGCCCUUCCCUACCCUAUCCCUUGGUCUCGCUGUGCUUCCCAUUCCAUGCCGGCCUACCUGCCAAGCCUCUCUGCCGGGGUGCGCCUUGCAUGUGUAUGUUUGUAUGUAUGUGUGUGCUUGUGCGCGAUGCGCGCGGCAUGGCGGUGUCUGCUCUUGGUACCUCAAACGGCCCUUCUUUUUCUUGCUCGCUUCGAUUGUGAAAUUUGUUUUCUAAGAAUUUGGUGCGCAUCUUCGCGCAUCCCGUGCCCAUCCGCACAUACAAUGUCACAGACGUGUCUGCGCCGUCGAACCCAGUGCAUCUGUGUCGCAUCAGAUCUUGUGCUUAGGCGUGCGUUAUAUAUAUAUAUAUGUGUGUGUGCGUGUGUGUGCGCCUGGGCGUGCUACGCAUUUGUGCGAUGAGCGUGCCUCCUCUCUUCCCCGUCCUUGGUCGUUUCGGCGCGUUGCUAUCCUUUGUUUUUUUUUGUUUCGCUCUUGCCGUUCUACUGAGCCUGGUGCGGUCUUAACAUCAAAGACUGCCGCGGAACAAUAGCAGCCAAACCUUGGUCCUCGCCCUCAUCGCCCACAAAAAGGAGCGGAAGAGCCUGGCGGCACAGCGCCAACACGAGUCGAGAGAGCGAAGGGCUAUACAAGCAGAAAGCGAAGCGGUUAAGCCUCUGCCAUCGUAGGACUCCAGCGCCUCGUUGCCUUCGACGCGAAGGGUAAGGGCAUUGAGGAUAGCGAAGAGCACUGUGUGCUGGUGCUGAGAACAUGUAGGUGGGCGGAAGGGGUGGAGAGAAGAAGUGCACUCGCAAGCUGUGUGUUCUGCUGUCGUAAGGAGUGCUGCGGGCGCGAUUUACUCCUCUCCGUGUGUGCGCGUGCCCGCUUUUCUCUCUCGCUAUCCAUUUCAGACCUCAUCCACCGCCGUCGCCGCCACCACCACCGCCCUCUCGCGAGGCGAGAGAGGUCUGCCCAGGUGCAUGGCUGGCCCGUCGACUUCCAUGCGAUUUUUCCCGCGUCCCUCUUCUCCAUCCUCCGGGUACGAUUGCCAUCGUUCUAUUUCAUUCGUGUCUUUUCCUCCAUCGCGUUCACCGUGUCGACCUCGCUGAUGCACCCGCACGGUGGAUGCACUUCCUCUCCCAUCUCUGCCACGCACUCGUGCGCAAACAAAG
rnacentral:misc_RNA from 1 species